GGGCGUAGCGGGCCGGGGAAGGGGGGAAGGCGGGAAGGUGGCAGGGUGCGCUGACCGCCUUCCUCGUCCGCUUCGCCCAACUUUCCCACCUUCGGGGUCGGCAGGUGGUCUUUUUCACUGUAAGGAGGGAGUGGAGGAGGGAGAUCAACAUCUUGACAAGACAAUUCAGGAGUGCUCCAAGGACAACUAUACUGAAACAGCCUAGGAGCAGGAGAAGACACCUAUUGCAAAGGAAUGAUGAAGGCAACUUCCAUCAUGUAGAUUUUUCCAUCUGCAGAG